rnacentral:tRNA from 1 species
GUCUUUGUAGCUUAAUUGGAAGAGCAUUUACCUUGUAAGUAAGGGGUUGUAGGUUCAAAUCCUACGAAGGGCA